rnacentral:rRNA from 1 species
UCGUGUUUUGGUGACUCUGAAUAGCUACAGCUGAUCGCAUGGUCUUGCACCGGCGACGUGUCUAUCAAGUGUCUGCCUUAUCAACUUUCGAUGGUAGUUUAUGUGCCUACCAUGGUUGUUACGGGUAACGGAGAAUAAGGGUUCGACUCCGGAGAGGGAGCCUGAGAAACGGCUACCACAUCCAAGGAAGGCAGCAGGCGCGCAAAUUACCCACUCUCGGCAUGAGGAGGUAGUGACGAAAAAUAACGAGACCGUUCUCAAUGAGGCCGGUUAUCGGAAUGGGUACAAUUUAAACCUGUUAACGAGGAUCUAUGAGAGGGCAAGUCUGGUGCCAGCAGCCGCGGUAAUUCCAGCUCUCAAAGUGUAUAUCGUCAUUGUUGCGGUUAAAAAGCUCGUAGUUGGAUCUGCGCUUGAAGACUUGGUCCACCAAUUUUGGUGCUGAACUAAGCUCUUCGGCUAUUGAUGUGCUGGUUUUCCCUACGUUACCUUUACCGGUCGCGUAGGGUGGCUAGCGAGUUUACUUUGAAAAAAUUAGAGUGCUUAAAGCAGGCUUUUAAGUCUGAAUAUUUGUGCAUGGAAUAAUAGAAUAGGAUCUCGGUUCUAUUUUGUUGGUUUUCUGAUCCGAGAUAAUGGUUAAGAGGGACAGACGGGGGCAUUCGUAUCGCUGCGUGAGAGGUG